rnacentral:rRNA from 1 species
AGUGAACGCUGGCGGUAGGCCUAACACAUGCAAGUCGAACGGCAGCACAGUAAGAGCUUGCUCUUACGGGUGGCGAGUGGCGGACGGGUGAGGAAUACAUCGGAAUCUACUUUUUCGUGGGGGAUAACGUAGGGAAACUUACGCUAAUACCGCAUACGACCUACGGGUGAAAGCAGGGGAUCUUCGGACCUUGCGCGAUUGAAUGAGCCGAUGUCGGAUUAGCUAGUUGGCGGGGUAAAGGCCCACCAAGGCGACGAUCCGUAGCUGGUCUGAGAGGAUGAUCAGCCAAACUGGAACUAAGACACGGUCCAGACUCCUACGGGAGGCAGCAGUGGGGAAUAUUGGACAAUGGGCGCAAGCCUGAUCCAGCCAUACCGCGUGGGUGAAGAAGGCCUUCGGGUUGUAAAGCCCUUUUGUUGGGAAAGAAAAGCAGCAGGUUAAUACCCCGCUGUUCUGACGGUACCCAAAGAAUAAGCACCGGCUAACUUCGUG